rnacentral:tmRNA from 1 species
GGGGCUGAUUCUGGAUUCGACGGGAUUUGCGAAACCCAAGGUGCAUGCCGAGGGGCGGUUGGCCUCGUAAAAAGCCGCAAAAAAUAGUCGCAAACGACGAAAACUACGCUUUAGCAGCUUAAUAACCUGCUUAGAGCCCUCUCUCCCUAGCCUCCGCUCUUAGGACGGGGAUCAAGAGAGGUCAAACCCAAAAGAGAUCGCGUGGAAGCCCUGCCUGGGGUUGAAGCGUUAAAACUUAAUCAGGCUAGUUUGUUAGUGGCGUGUCCGUCCGCAGCUGGCAAGCGAAUGUAAAGACAUGACUAAGCAUGUAGUACCGAGGAUGUAGGAAUUUCGGACGCGGGUUCAACUCCCGCCAGCUCCACCA